rnacentral:miRNA from 1 species
CUGGAUGCCCAGUUAAAUUUAAUUUCAGACAAACAGUGAAUAAUUUUGUAGUGUAAGUAUGCCAUAAGCAGUAUUUGGGACAUACUUACACUAAACUGUUAUUCAUUGUGUGUCGGAAGUUCAAAUUUAACUGGCAUUCUUUU